UUUGGGGGGUUUUUUUGCUUGUUUUGUUCUGUGCUCACAUCCCAUUGCUCCAAACAAAAUCAUGCAGCUGGAAGAAUGUGUGUGCUAUACAGAACUUUUGUUUCAGGUAAAAUACAUUCCUUAUUUACCAAGGUGCACGGAGAUUGUAACUUAAGAACUACAGCACUGUUACUCUUGCCCUCAGCUAUCUCCAUAUAUUCAUUCUGAACAGAAGAUAUGUAGGUGUAAGCUGAAUAGUAAAAGGAGAUUGGGGUUCUGCAUUUGGAAAUGUAGCCGGAUUCUGUAAAUCCUUCCUCCCUAGUUUAACCUUUGGAAUAGCACAUUUUCCUUAGACACAGCCACUUCAGUGUAAUGGGGUUCCUACAAGAAUCCAGAACUCUGAAGCGUCAUUGAGACAAAACGUCUGUUCUUCAUCCACAAGAUCACUGAACAAGUAACCCCUCUAACACUAUUCUAAUAAAUGUUUUACCUUCUAUCUGGUAUAAACGUGAACUACUGCUGAGUGAUAGCAAGAUCUCUGGACGAAGAUGACAAACAUGGAAGCUGAAAAAAUCCAAAAUCUGAGGUCUUUGUCCUAUAAAAGUGCAUAAUCAAUCAGGAGAAUCCCAGUAUUUUCCAAUGUUUGAAACUAAAGGCUUGGGUUUUAAAUACGGACAAGGACGAAAGACUUUCCAAAGAAAUCAGGACACUGAAACAAGAGUAAUAUAUACAACAUUUGUAGAACUAAUCUUGUGACCCUGUGAGCCCCUAGGAAUUGAUGAAAGAUAGGAAGGGUACCAGCCUGGGACAAAGGAUUCUAACUUUGUUAUUUGUAUUAAUAGUACGUCAAGUGUGGCCUCCCUGAAGAGGAUGAGCAGUCAAUACUUCCUGAUCAUAUUAACUCCACAGCACAUAUGAAGUGACUAAUGUGGUCUGGGAUGCUUCUCAGUGGACCUGCAAAUGGCGUGCACCGUUUUCUCAGCAUAAUAGAAGGAGACUCUGUGGGAAGAGCAUGAAAUGCAAGAGCAUCGUGGGAAAGACCAGAGUCACAAAUGACAUGGCUCCUCCCAGAAACCCAUCUGGAAAGUCUGAGAAGUGUUGCUAAGGAAACAGGCAUCACCUACCGUUAGGUCCACGGGUCUAGCAAUGCUUUUCUCAGGAAAAAUAGAACAACUACAAAACAGGAAUUGUCCUAUCUUCUGCAUGAGCCUAUUGCCCACAUCCUGCUGGAUCAAGCUAUAAUGUCCUACUUUCUGAUCCCUCCUGGGGAGGCCCAUGGAGCUCCAAACUCUGAAAGUUCAUAGGUGUUUCAAAGGUUAUUCCUCAAAUGCUCUCCUCUGGAAGCUCUGUAGUUGAAGAGACCAACAUCAGGAAGGAAAAUGAUUGCAGGAACAUCAGCUCAGCAAGAGAGGAAGAGGCAAAAGGGGCAGUGAAAAAGGGCAAGGAUGAUGACUGCUUACAUCUGUACUCCUGGAGAACUGCAGCACAGCUUAAGCAACAUGGAACAGCAGUAAGAUUCUUUUGAGAAAUAAUUAUUUUUAUUAGACCAGCGUAUAUAGCUGGAAAAAGCAGAGGAGCUUCCAGAGGCAGCGCUGCUUUAGCAGAUGAGGCAAAGCACAAAGCAGAACAAAACUGUCAUCAUGUAAACAUAACUGUGCUAACCUUGAACAAGGAAAGCACUCAGCGUUUAGGGAGCAGUGUGUUCGUGACAAGCCAGAUGACCAGUCACUGGUCCCUUUGAAAGGGGGAUAAACUGCAGUUAGCGACAGAAUGAUGCAGUAAUACGGAGCCAGUUUAUCUAAGUGAGGCCCCAAUUUUUAGCAUGCAGCAAACGUGCCUUAGUUACUGUCAGACAGCAAAACAACAGACAAAGCACUUUCUGAGCAAGUAUACUGGUUACCACAUGCUGUCACUAGCCAUACAAUUAGGCAACCAUUAAACACAAAGACACUAGCUCUAGUAUAGAAACUCACUGGUGGAUACAGCAGCAUCUUUAGAAGCUUCCCCUGGGCUUAUACUCUUCCAGUGGUACCUGCCAUUGGCCAAUCCUAGGAGACAGAUCACAGGGCUAGGUGGAUCCUCAUUUGGGACAUCAGUUCUUUCUCUGUCUCUCACCAAACACAGGCUCACACAGAUACAGAGAUGCUGUUUACAAUACACUAAUUUUGCUUCCAAAAAACGCACUUUUUAUAUUUGAAGACUGACAAGUUUAGGGUUAUGCUUUCAUUACAAGGGAACAAACCUAACUCAGACAAACCACACUGCCAUGUAUGAACCUCACUGCAGUUUUAUAAGCCAUAACUAGCAAUGUCACUGAAAAGGGUGCUCUCAUGUUGCCUACUUGUUCUCUAUUCCAUGCUUCAUCAUGUCUUUUGCCAUCUCAAGCAUUCAUACAGUCAUAAGUUGGGUCAGAGCUAAUCUCUUAGAAACAACCCACCCUCUAGUUGAUGUUACUACAUCCUGUUGAACUAGGGAUCCUCCUGGUAGCAGACAGACUCAAAGACGAGGAAGAAGCAGUUAGGGGUAUCGGAGGACUUUACUAGACACACAGACAGCUGUAUUUGUGCCAUCUGACAACCAGCUGGCACAUGGCCUAUCAGAUGCAAAGGUAGCAAUCUCACACGGCAUCUACACUGACUACUUGGUGAUUCAGCAAAGAAAACAGUAGUCCAUGGGAUCCAUGGUAGUAACAGCAGUGUAUGGAAACACAGCAUGGAUGCUCUGGAGUGUAAACUCAGGUCAUUGGGCAGAAGACUUACAUUCAGGAUUUUCAUGGUGUUACUUUCUCAAAUGUUGCCAGUUCCACAUGCAAGAGGGAGGCUGAGGUAGGAAGUCAGUGAUGCAGAGGGAAAAGAUUUAGGCAUGACAGGAACAGGAAGAACUUGUUAGGCAUGCACAUUAAUCAUGCCAGAGUCAAGCAGACCGCAUGCUAAUAAGAGUUCUGGAACUUACAAACACUUUACACAACUGCUAGAAGUUUCAGAAGUACCACAUGGGAAGUCCAAAUGCUUGGCCUCACCUGACACCUCAAAGGAACAAGCAUCUGCAAGGCUUGGUGGAUUACUCAGCAACUCCAACAGGAAUGACAAACAAUAGGUGGGGAACUGCCCUGUAUGUGAAGGACAUGUAAACGGCAUAAAGUAUUACAGGAGAAAAACCCAUCCUGCAUGACUGAAUGGGGAAGCUGAGGAGGGCAUCAGAGAGAGGCCAGCUUUUAAAGGCAGAAAGCUUGCCUAAUGAGAAGAGCUUGUAAAACACAUGGUUGGUCAGAAGUAAACAGUAAAUAAAUAACUCUGAAUGUUUUGGUAGCACCUUGCAAAGUUACUGAACUACAUCAAAAGCAGGAAACCAACUAGAAAAACCAGUGCGAUCUCUUGCAGACCAAGGUGAAGAAGGGAUACAGGGAUGACAGCACCAAUGUAGAGGAGCUCACUGAACGUUCUGUUCCCAGUGCUUACUGCUGAAGUAACUGGGGAGAUUUUCAGACCUACCUUCACAGUAUAUAGGUCAGAGGGACUGGGUCAAUUUGAAGUACAGAGGAGGCUUUAGGCUGAAUGGGUAAGUUAGAUGUACCUCACCCAGCGCAGGCAUUUACAGGACAGUGCCAAACCUCAAACAGGAGAACUGCUGGGCAGCAGGUCACCAGUGUAACUCCAGUGCACACAAAGACCCUAACGGGACUGGCACAACCGAAAAGCAAAUGUGAUUUCCACCCCUGCAGAGUAACACUGGAUCAGAUCACUGCACACACACAAGACUGCUAGAAAGAGUAUCCACAGCUUCCGCAAAAGGAAAUCCUACCAAGGGCACAACUCUUUUCCCAGCUUACAUACCCCUUUGAAUUUGGGGACUGAGCUGCUGGAUCCACUGAAUACCUGGGUUGAACACCGGAUGAUCUUAUGGAAGGGAUCAAUUGGGAUUAUUUGGGAAAAAAAUUGCAAGUGGAAUCUUCAGGCACCCAAAAGGGGCUCCAGACUUUGUGUGACAACCUGCCCAUUCCUCUGCUACAUACUGCAGGCUUCUGGCAAACUUCACCAUCUUAAAACCACAAUGCAAAGGUUUGCUGCACAUUGCAAUGUUUACAACCAUGUGCUUAAAAGCACUAUGAUGCAUCCAGAUGAACUCAACAGGGGAAAAAAAAUUCCCAUAACCUUGUUUAGCCUUAUGUUCCAGCCUGUAAACUUUGUUCUGAUGACUGGGGAGUUGGAUGUAGGGCAAACAACAGGCAAUACUGCUAACAGCAGGUACGCAAAAGGAAGUUUGUCAUAUGUGAUUGCUUUUUCUUCCAUAGCUUCUGCACAUACUCACAGGCACUCACCUACCUGCUGAUGGUGCUAAAAGCUGGGAAAGUCACUCAGGUGAGUACACACACACAGAAAUGUAAAAUUUGGGUUGCAACUCAAGUAUUUCUCUCCACUGUUACCUUUAGCACCACUGGAGACAACAGCAAGCUAAUGGUCUCAGCCAGGAGAGCGGGCACAUUCUCAGAGCACAAAACAAAUCCAGGUUAAAGCAACUUAAGCUGCAGUUCUUGGCAGCCUAAAAUUAAUAAUGCCUGCCCAGCCUGCAUGGAAGAGCCAGUCCCUUAAGCCAGCUCUGGCAUUUAGCAUGCUAAAAGACUCAGCAAAAAAAAGUCUUACAACUCAGCAGAAAAAAAUAACCUGACAAAAAGCAGUGGAGUAUCUGCUGCUGACUUAUCAAGCAGAAACAGCACAGCAGGCAUCCACCGAUCAAUGCCAGUAGUACAAGCAAGGGUGUGGGGCAUAGAAAUUAGGAUGGGUUUUUUGCCAUGGACACGUAGUCUCAUCAAAAAGUUGCAUUUAAAUCACAUUAGUUCCCCAAACCAGCAGACUUCAGUCACACCAUUAAUUAUGCCUGCAAUAGUUUUGGUAUGUGAGUGAUUGUGAAACUACAGUCUAGUUCUAUAAUGUCAUUCAAGUGGCUCACAGGAUACAAAUACACUGCAUAAGGUAGGCAGCUAUUAGACACUAACAGUACUAAAGGCAAACAAAAUCCUGGAAGACCUAGAGGUAACCUCAAGCAGAGACUGCAGUGUUUCCACAACAAAGCUUAAACAUUUCUUUCUAAAAUUAAAUAUUCUCUCAAACAGCACGAGAUACAAACAGUCUCUCAUAACCAUGUACAGAACACCUUCAGUAAGAUCCCUUCAGAUGUCAACACUGAAUUUCAAUACCCAUCCCAUCAGCCUGGGAACACUGGAAAAUAACCAAGGUGCAUUUUAAUUUUGAUGCGUUAAAAUCUGUGUGUUCACGUUUUGGUUUUCUUUACCAGACACCAUUUGAUGAAAGCAAAGAGCUAAUGACAUCUUCAAAUUCACUUUGAAAAUCACACAACAUUUCUGAAGCUGACAUGAAAUUACAACUACAUUGUGCACCAGCGAGAUAUAUAUAUAGAGAUUUCCAAAAGUAGUACCAGGAGUUCUCUAAAAAUACUGUAUGCUACAACUCUGUCACAAAAAUAUAUAGUAUAAAAUUGCUGGUUUUGUUAAACAUAGUUAUUUGGUUAACUACCAAAAAGCUCCCAGCUGCUCAGUAUCCAUGAGCAGAUCCCACACAACCACAAUUCAAUCAUUAUCCUGGGAAUUAACUGAAAUAAAACAGCUGUGGAGCACAUCACUGACCUAGAAGGCAAUAUUAUUUUGUUGUUAUUAAAUCUGUGUAUUGGUUAGUCAAUGAAGUUUCUAAAGGCCGAGCCACCGAAGAUGUAUCUUUAUUCCAGAAGACUAAAGAUUCAACCAUCCUACUGCCUCUUUAUUUUUAAAAUCGACACACUUACAGUGGUAGAUGGCUUUUAAAGGACUAUGAAAAGGACUAUAAAUUCCUUGCAAAUGACAGAGAGGUCUACGUGAUCCUUUCUGGAUUCUCAAUGCAGUGCUCUGAGAGGUGCCAGGCAUCUUACUUUAACCUCUUCCAAGGCAGAGGAAUUCAACAAUUGUCUCAUUCAUUGACCAGACUCCAGGUUGCAACUCUUGUUCACCAGACCUGACAGCUCAAGGUUGGCACUUGUUUUUCUUUCAGUAACCCAUUCUACUGAAAACUGAAGCAUGGAUUUACAUACUUGACUGUGCUCAGGUACAGGAACUGGUACAGCACCCACCCCAUCAACAGCACUCAGCUGUGUGCCAGAUCAUACACAUGAACAGGACAUGGAAGGUUCCACCUUAGCAGUUUACCUCAUGGCAUGAGGCCAAACUCUUCUUUGACCAUCAUUUCCAGUUAUAUCUCCUUGGAGGUUGCCGCUCCCUCAACUGCAUCCAAGCCCAAAACACAGGUAGUAGUGGCCAUCCUUCAGCUGAUGGGGGAAACCUCAGCUGAGGUGAGGGCAAACAGGACAACCACUAUUUCAAAACACUGAUAACCAAUAAAUACAUCAGCUGUGGGAGCAAUAGUCACCUACUAGUUCACUUUGCCGUGAACCCCAGGAAACCCCAGCUUUGCUUAAGAAGUUGUUCACAUCCCACAAGUUCAAACCCUAUCAAUUUGAAGUCUUCUAACAUCUCAAAGUAAACGUGGAAGCCCCAACUUCCCCAGAUACCUGAGGGUGAGCCUGCCAUUUCAGCCUCCCAUUACUCCCUUUCAUGGAAGCUGUGCUUCUAAACUGCCCCGUUUCUUUGCUGUCUUGAAUGGCUGUGCAAGCCAAAAUCCAUCUUGUUAGCUGGCUGAAGGCAAGUAGCAAAGUCUCCAAUAUCACUAGUUCAAAAACAAUUACUGCUUAACAAAUACUUUGUUUGCCAACUGAACUGCAGUUUCCUUGGGUUUGAUUUUGGCAAUCCUUUUUAUUAACAGCAAAGAUCCUGUGUUCAGAAAAGCGAUAUCUCCAUUCCCUGUUCAACAUGAACCAUUACUGAGUCACGGUUCAGUUCCAAUUCAGUGAAAAAUUAUUUAUACACAUAACAUUCUGCAAAUUCAUCACCUCCACAGAGCUCUGUUAUGGACCAAUGUUUGCCUUUAUUCAUCUCUACCUCGAGAAAGACAUAAAUCUUACCCAAGGCAAAAGCAGGGUGGAAAGAACAGUAAGUUUCUCUGCAAAGCAAAACAGUUUAUUAGAAAAAAAACCCCACUUACUAAGUAAUUCUGCUAGAGUGAGACAGGUCACAGAGAGCCAACAGGGGUAUCUCUGAACUCACACCAAAACAAAUAUUCUGCUUAAAAAGAAGUUAUUCCACUUUCUAUAAGAAGCUGCCUACAGAGAAUUCAUCUAACAGUCUUUAGAGAUAUUAAAUCUCAUCUAUCACCACUCUUCUCCAAUAAUAAUCUUUCCUUUAAAGAGAACAAAAAAGCAUCAGUGUCACAGUGUAAAAGACCUAUCCCUGUAUUCAGCUACAGAAGCUGUUAGUGACAGCCCUAAACUUCUACGUCAGAAGUAUCUGUGGAUCGUUACUACCUACCAAGAGGACAACAAUUUACCAACGGCUGCAAGCGUCAAAAAAAGAUGAAUUUUUAAGCCAGAAAUAAGCUGUCAGUAAUAUGAUAUAGAGAAGAUCUGUUUUGUGACAACAGCCUGGUAACUGGAGAUUUUCAAUGGAAAAACUAAUGUUUUCAUUCCUGAAAACUUCAUCACCAGAUUUCUCAAUUUAGAACAUAUUACCAAAGCAGAAGUCACUAAGGGACCAGGAUUAUUGCCAUCUAUCAGUCCCAUCCACGGGGGGACCAUGAGAAGGGAAAAAACCACACUGAUGCCUAAAUCCCAAAUCAACUAAAACUCAGAGAGAAUGAGGGACCUUUUACACUAUCAAAUCUACUAAGCUCACUACUAAAGGCAAUGCAUCAUCUAUUUCUUACCAUAAAGUGAUGAAUAUCUGUCUAAACUGUUUGAAUUCUUGCCCCCACUAAUCCUAUUAAAGGUUACUAUAAAGCCAUACUGUUCCAGUAAGUAGAAACCCUAUACUCUAAAUCUAAAACCUAUUCACAGGCAUUUUAUAUCCUUUUGUUCUUCUGGCAGUAUUGGCAUCUAGUUUAAACAGUUAAUUUCUACCCCUUUUCUAUUUUUACUGAUAAUUCCUCUUUAAAAUAGCCACUUGCCCUUUACAUAUCUAUAGCAUAAUAAAGACUAAGAAACAGAUGGCAGUCAAUACUGGUAAAACCACUAAGGAGAGAAACGAACUCCUGACUUACAGAAUCAGGUUUUAUUAACUCCUUAAGUACAUGAAGCUGCUCCAUAAAAUACUAGUUUUCAUCCCAUUUCUAACAGUAUAGCCCCUAAAGUAUUGCACUCAUGCCUGUACAGCAUUCUGAUCCUCCUCCCAACAUUGCCUCAUUAAAAUGUCAUUAAAAUCUACCCAUUACUGGUGGGGUGGGGUGGGUGGGGUGUCAGAGAGAAUUACUGAUAAAAGACAUCACUUCUGGCUCAAGACAUCCCAAACUGCAAGUUGCCGAGGACUAGAAAAACAUUCAGCAAAGUAUCAUUAUAUGGUCACGGCUUGUACCUUCCCUGCCACCCACCUUCUCUUUCUGCUCAUCUCCAUGUUUCAACACUCAGUAAAACAAGGAAUCUUUUUUAACUACAGAACCAGAGUUUACUGGCUCUAAGGGGGCAAUAAAUGGGUGACCAUACACCCUCCUCCCAGUUCUAAAGUGUUCAUUCAAGAAUGGUGUUCAUGUAACCAGGACAAACAGGAUGUCUAGAGCAGAAACAAUUAUACAGUAUGAUUUUGGAAGGUCUUGUCUUUGACUUGUGCUAGCAGACUUAAAGCUGUCUAAAUUAUUCUCAGAGAAAGGAUUCAGUGAACAGUAGCUAAAAAUACAAAGGAGGAUACUGUGACUAAGAGCACCCAAAUAGAGAAAACUAUUCCCCCCAAAAAAAUAAAUUCAUUGAAAAUUGUGACUUAUUUGAGAAGCAACAAUAGCCUUUGAAGGAUUCAAGCUAACAUGAAUACAACCAUGAUUCAUUUCAGAUAUAAUGGAUAACAGUUAAAAAAAUAAGUGUAUGCUUCCAAGUUGCCAAUUUAGGCAAAAAUACCCUGAGCUGAGUCUGGAGAGCUUCCAGUAAAGGGAAAGAACAAUCACAACAAUAGCCAAGUUCUCUCGCUACUAACUUAAAGUGGGUUGAGGCACCUUAUUUUUUUGAUUAAGGACACAAAGUAGAGAGAUUGAGGGUCUCAUUCAGGUUUGUCCACCAUCAUCACAAGGUCAGGAACAAAAGGCAAGUGUUCCAAACCUCACUGCAGUGAUUCGUCCACUAAGUCACACUUGCCUCCUCUAAAUAACUUGUGAACAGCGAAGUUGGACAGAACCUGCAAAGCCCUAGAAACACUUUGAGGUCCAAUGGCCAAUCAGUGUUUUUAUGGAAGAUUAUCUUUUUCUUUUUAGACCACCCAAUCACUUAAAAACAAAGAGAGGCCUUAUCUGUGGAACCAUCUGAAGACUGCUGAUCUCUCUGCAAUGGCCUCUUCUAAGAAGUUUGUGGGAUCUCCAAACACCCAUCCUUUAGCAUCAAAACGUCAGAGACCACUCUGGACUGCUCUAGUUUUCUCCUCCAGAGCAAUUUCCAUUAAGCAUUCUACAUAAAAUGACAGCCAAGAUAGUAUGCUUAUGUUGCCUAACUUUAGGAUGAAUGUCUGCAAGCCACACAUUUAGAUGACUACGCCUCAGAGGAAGAGUAAAUAUCUCACAUCUCCAAUUUGCAGCAUAUGGAUUUUUAAGAUGAAACCAUAUUUAAGCACGUCUCAAUGGCUUAGCACUUUUCCUUGGGGAGAAAAAAAAACCCCAACAAUCAAGAACAUUUUUUAAACCAAGACAAAAUUCCCGUGACUACUUCAGAAAUACUCAGACCUAUAGCCCCACAUUUCAAUUUAUGAGUUCUGACAGUCUCAAACAGGCUGCAAAAAUUUACAGAAGCCAUACAAGGAACCAUUCAAGAACAGCCCACUCAUUUAGCAGGGACAAAAGUUUCUCAUUUCCAACCACUUAACAGAAAACACACUGUAGCAGCAGAGUGCUCAUCCCUUCUUCUAUCUUCAUCUGUGUUAGAAAGCGCGAGCUGUCCAAGCACUGCAAACUGCAGUAAUUCAUCCUGUAUUCUAUUUAUCCUUCUUUACAACCCUUUAUUUUUAAUGCUUGGUUUUAUCCAGCAUUCCUUCCAAAUGAACAGCACCAGUCUUUACCUUCUUUCAACUUUUAUCCCCAGCACUUCACAGAUAUUAUGGCGGCAAGUAUCCCACAUGGGAUUUUUGCCACCUGCCUCUUCACUAUCUGUUUACUUUCCAGUUCCAGUUGAACUGAACCAGAGCCAGAAUUAUGCUGCUUUUUCUUAAGAAUGACUCUAAUCAUUAGAAUUUCACAUUCUAUCACCAUAUUAAUAGGGAUUAGUUUUAAUAUUCCAUUUCCAUUUGGUUCUUCAAAGCUUGGAUAACCACUUGCAUAACACUGUGCUUAAAGAACUUGCCUUCUAUCACUUGGCUUGCAGUUUUUCAUCCGGGCCAGCAGCUUGCUGAAGUUCUUCUCAUGUGUAAAGGAUACAUCAUUUGCAAUUACUCACCUCCCUUCAGGCACUGCAGCAGCCUUUGAAGAGGGCUUCCUUCCCCAGUGCUCCUUUUUCAACCAUCUCCUCAGCCUCCAAUACUCUCUCUGAAGAAAGAUUACUCAGAGGAAGGCUGGUGCAACACUUUCCUGACUGGCAUUCAUUGCCUCCUCCAUGUAGCAGUCAAAUUAAGUACCGAGGACCAGGAAUUAUUUUUUUCAGUCCUUAUAAGGGCUACAAGAAACCUCUACCUACACAUCACCUUCCCCAAGAGCCAAUCUUUUAGCACCUUUAUUUAUACAGUAAAGAAUUUCCUUGCAACUCGUUAUUCACUGGCAGCUGAACUUAUCCUUGUGCUCACUUACUGAGUAAGAAAAACAGUGUGCACCCAAUCCUUACAUUCUUACAGUCACACAGAAAGGGGGCUGGAAACCACCGCAUUUACUUAAUUGACCCACAUUGCUGCCCAUCAGUGGAUAAUUGCACGCUUUUUUCCACCUUUGCCAGUACACCUAAAAAUCAUGAACUCUGGAGCUUCAUCCACACAGUUCUUAUUUCUGUUCAAAAUGCCACAUGGAAAACAAGGAAAGUGAUUUAACUAUCUGGAAAGGAUGAAGCAAAAAUAAUUCUGAUGCUGAUUAGAAGAGGAUUAUGACAAGGAUCCUUCCCUCCCUCCUCUUCUGUUUCAAACAUAGACUCAAGUGCCACCCAGUAAAGCAGGCAGUGUUGCAGGUGCUGGAACCCAUCAUGUGCCAGCCAAGCCUGAAAAGGACACAUCUUUGCUGGCAAAGGGCAAAGGAUAAAUUACAGGAUACGUACAUCUAUGGCUCAUAUAUUACAAACGCCACAGCCACAGGCAGGACCUUGCCAAAAAUGCCACAGAGUUCAAGCUAAUGGGAAGAAGAGCAUAAAAUAAGAUUUUCUGUGGCAUUAAGGAUUAUGAGCACUCACCCCCUGUAACACAGAAAGGCAUGAGUGCUCUGGGAAGACAUAUAGAUCUCUAUAUGGCUGCUGUCCCAGUGACCUUGCCACAACUCAUCAAAGCUGCUCUGCAUUCCAUAAGAUGUUAUUCUCAUGAAAUGAGCACUUUAAUAUCCCAGGCUGAAAGUACUCCGUGUGGCAAAGCAAUAUCCACGUACUCACACCAAGCCCUACCUUCCAGGAAGCCAUCAAAGCCCAGGCAGAUCACCCAAAGUUAAAGCAUUUCCUAUAAAGCACAGGAACGUAUGUGUGUUAUAACGCCACAGCAAAAUAUGCGCAGAUAGGGGGGACAAGAGGAGUGAAGAAAGGUGACAAAUCCAACAACUAUCUAGCCGAAUGUUUAUGGCCAAUGGAGCAGGGGGGUAUCCCACUUAACAAAUGAAGCCCUUUACACUGAUCCCUUUUGCCAAGACCCCAGCUAUGAUAAUGAAGGGAUUUUUAAGAGGUCAUACAAGUAGCCUAGGAGAGAUACCUACUGUUGUUUACACAGCUGGACUGGGAACACCACAGCUUUUGGUCAGUCAGCAUAUACCAUAGCACUAACAGUAAGGAAACUGAGAUAAUAUAUCAGUCCAAGUUCAAAUUAUUAACUGUGCGCUAUCUGAAUGCAGCACUAGGACCGACUCAACAGCUACCUUCCCUUUUACAGCUACUGCACUCCCUACCGUGCUUUAUUAUUAAAGACAUGUUUUUGAGCAUGUGUGAAUUAACUGCAGCAGAGCUGCCCCAUCUUGUUAUUUAAAUGCAAAGUUUGCAAUGCUAAACCCAGUACCAAUAUAACACCCCACUCAAUAGGAGCAUAAACAUCAUAAAAAGGUCAAGCAUUUUCAUAAUGCUUUGCUAAUGAGGGUCAGGGCCUGACUGGACUUGUUUUGGCCUCCGGCCUAGCAACAGUUUCUGUAUUGGCCAAACUCUGAUGAGUCUGCUAUUAUUUCUAAAUCAUUUGCAUCUCUCCUGCCUUCCAUAGAGACUUACCACAGAAACGACCAGUCUACGGCUCAAACAGCUGCUGUGUUAGCACACUAGCAUGUCUGCUUCUGGAUACAAUCAUUUGAUGCUAUGGAAAACCUGCAGUUAACUAUAAACAAGUACUUAAUGUGAAGAUAGACAGCUUGGCAUACUGAGCUUGCUCCGUUCAUUAUGGCAUGAGCCUUGAGAGAAACAAACUAUGGACUAAAUAUAUUUCAUUCAUUGACUGGUCACAGCCUAGAUCUGUAAACUGAGCAAGCCAGUCUUCCAAGCUUUUAUUUCCUGGUUAUCUCUUAGUUGUCAACAACAGCAACUACUCCCUCUCUAUCUGGAGCUGCGCAGUUAACAGAUGUUUUGGGGUUUUAUUACAGAACUGUCUGUACUUUUAGAUGAAAUCUACUUGUUUCUUAACAAAUAUGACAAAAAAAUGCCAACAUUAGAUUUCUCUUGGUUUAGUAGUCAAUGUUAGAUAACAUUACAAAGGUGUCAUAAGAAACACCACAUUUAACUCACAGCUAGAUGUAUGCAUGAAGCAAGCCAAAUCCAGACCCAAGAUCUUUCUCACAGGCAGACAGGUUAAAUAGGGACAUGUAAUGCCAAAAACAAUGUCAAAAUUUCAAUUUGCAAAAUCCAUGGAAAUCUUUAUCGGGAAGAUCUCUUCAGUACAAGACAGAGUAAAAGAAAACAUGACAAAAGAUAGGAAUGUAACUAAACCAAAAAGAGGCAAUAAAAAUGAAGGACCAGACUGAUGGCACAGGUGGCUGCUCACCCUUCCUCACCCUACAAGGGGCAUGAGAACAAUUAACUUCUGGAAAACUAGUAUUGCAGUGAAUCAGAGCUUUUAUUGUGACUUUAUGGUGACUGCUCUUAGCUGAAGAAACAAAUCCAGGGUCCAUCCUUAAUACUGUCUGUGAUGCAAUCUCCUGUACUAAUAGAAACUACCUCGUUUGGACACAAGAACAGCUCACUACAAUGAGCUUAUGAAGGAAAAAAGCCCUUAAAUUAUAGCAAACCUAAUCUGGAGAUUAUCAUAGCAAUAUCUUCUCUAUUCACCAACCACACCAGGAGUUGAACCUACUGUCAAAGGCAAGUUCUUCUUGAAGCCACGCAGCUCUACCCCUUUUCCUCCUCUGCUCUACCAAGAUGCAUUCACCAGUCCUGCUGUCAGAGAUGCUGCGAAUUCCCUGCUGAGCGCUGCCAGCACCAGCCAAAAUACACACCUUCUACUGCACUGGAUUUUAAAAGAAACCUACUGCAGAAUGCCACUCAGACAACCACCACUUCAUGUUCCAAUACCCAAGAGUAAAGACUGUGCUAAGGCAGAAUACUGAAGCCUAUGCAAAACCACACAACACACGUAUAGAAACCAGAAUGAAGUCAGGCAGACACACAGACAUAAGAGAACACUUCCCUGUGUGCCUGUUUGUUACUGCAGUUUUUGUUUUGUGACUGGUGUUGAUCUUUAGCCAUGACCAAGCAAUCAUUAGAGCUGUUGUGUAAUGGUAGAGUGUGACGAUAAAUACAAAUUAUUGCACAGAGUCUGCCACACAACAGCGUAAGUCUCCACUGCCAUACAAGCAAGUCCUGCAGAGAAAUAACAAGAUUUCCAAUUUCUGACAGCAAGAAUAGCCGUGUCAAGAGGUACAGCUGAACACUGAGGGGGGAUUGCGGAGGAAGAACGUUGGGGUUUUAAGACAAAAUGAAAUUCAUUCUUUGGUAAGCUUCCAGGCAACAUUCCACAAAAAUGCUUGCAAAGAACCAUACACCAAGGCAAGCGAGGAGUCAAGCACAAGGCUCCAACUUUAAACAUUGCAGUAAGUUGUAGAGACUAAAACAGGAAGUCAGGCUGCAGCCAAGAAACAAGAAACUGAGGAAAGCAUGUAAUCCUAUCAACUGGCAAGCCAUAACAUUUUUAUUUACAUGUAUGUGUAAGCAUAUGUACAGACAAGCCUAAUUCUUCUUCAGUGCCUUAAAACAAAGCAUCAGACAGUAACAUAACAUUUUGGGGAAAAAAAAAAGUCAGCUUUGGGACUGUAUGGGAAGAUUUAAAACUAUUUCCAUCUAAAUUACUGCCAAAUCACACCCACUAGUGCCAACAUAGUUUCAAGAUAUGGUAACUAAGGCAUACAAUUGGAUGGCCAGUAACAAACCAUUUUUUCACGACAGGGUGAAGUUACACUCAUGCUGAGCAGGAUCACAACUUUCUUUGAGAGCGUGAAAAUGAAUGGGCACAAGGAUGAAGCCCAGCUUCAAAGACAACAUCACAUCUUUGUGAGCCAGUUAUCGAUAAGACUGCCUGUGAACCUUUUGAAUGCUGGAAGCCCCGCUGCCUCUGAACAGGAGCAACUCACUCACCAACCUCCAAUUCUACACGUAACACUGAGCAACUUUUUCAAAGUUGCUUCCCCAACUGCACAAACAUAAUCAGCUCACAAGGCUGCUGAAAGCAGCAGUUCUGCCAUCUGUCUGCUUAUUCCCACCGCACACUUGUGCGGGCACAAGUAUUUGUGAAGCCAUGUAACGAUCCAGAGGGAAUGAGAAAACUAACCAGGGAAAAAAAUAAACCCACGAUUAGCUCAUUUCUCAAUCUGUACAACUGUGCAUGCUGGCACGAGCAUGGCAAUGAGCAGAAAUGGUAUCACUGAUUUUAUUAAUGGAGGUGCCAUUUUCAGCAGUCCAUUGACACAGCAACUAAAUCUGAGAAACACUUCAGCACACAUAUGAAUUUUAGGAAAGUAGAAAUAAUUUUAAUUGAUUCACUCUUGUGUUCUUGUUAAAGUAAGAAGUGGAAGAAGAAAGGUGAAGCAAUCCACUGGUUACUGAGAGGAAUCAAAGUUCUUACUGGAAAACAUUUCAGUGGUGAGAUCUUCACCCCUGCCUCAGUUUCCUCCACUUAUAAAACACAGGCGGCAGCACUAAAGUGUUCAACAAAACAUUCUGCAGUACAAUAAAAAGACAUAACAUUGUAGCAGAGAGAAUUCACCUCUCUUACAGCAAUGAAAAAGUGAAAUGGUACAAAGCUGAUGCUGUAACCUAUAGCUCUGGGAUGGAGAACACACACAGGACAAUGCAAAGCAAAAUGGCUACUCAGAGCAGCAGCUCCUCAGCACCUGGUAUCUACAACAGGACAGACAGGGAUGUACAAAAGACCCGGGGAAAGAAACUCACAGCGGAGCCUCCCUGCCCUCCUUUCAUUAUUGGUACUUUGAUGGAAUCACAUAGGAGUUAUGAAGAACGUAUAGGGAAGACUUGCUGGAGUGGCAGGUUAAAGUAGGAAUCCACAGAGCUGGGUUGUCAUGACAGCAGCUGAAAGUAUGCAAGAGAUGUAUAGAUCCUGGGUGUUAGAGAACAGCACGGACUCCAAAUAAGAUCUUCAAUAUAUUACAUUAUUUUAAACACUAAGAAGCAUACACCACAUGUCACUAAUGAAACACAGGCUGCCUGAUAACCAUUUGCAUUGGUGCGUGAGGGAAGAGGACAGACACAAAAACCCAUGUGUUCAUUAAGUACUGAUGAAGCACGGGUUCUCCCAGAAUCAACAGUGAUGCUGCACAUGAGAAGAAACAAGCGACAUGCACUCUGGUGGACCAACACACUCAAGUCUCAACUGAAGCUUGGAAACUCACCACAUGAGCUCCACCCCAUUUAAAAGCAAAGUAAAACAGCAGAAACUUAAUUUCAACAACCUCUUACAUUAACUGUGCAUUCAAACAGCCUUGGAGCAUGCAGCGACUCGGCAACUUGUCCCGGCUGAGAGGAAGUAACUUCCUGUCAGAGAGAAGUUAUUCCCUGAAGUGUCUGAGCUCUGUGUGCAGCAGCACACCCGGAUCCCCGGCGCAGGCAGGCUGCAGGUGCCGACAUGCUGGACAACAGUGUCCUGGCGGGUCAAUUCCAAAGGCAGAAGGA